UACAGAGGGUGCAAGCGUUGUUCGGAAUUACUGGGCGUAAAGCGCGCGUAGGCGGCUUGCCAAGUUGGGGGUGAAAUCCCGGGGCUUAACCUCGGAACUGCCUUCAAAACUGGCGGGCUUGAGGCCGAGAGAGGUAAGGGGAAUUCCUAGUGUAGAGGUGAAAUUCGUAGAUAUUAGGAAGAACACCAGUGGCGAAGGCGCCUUACUGGCUCGGUCCUGACGCUGAGGUGCGAAAGCGUGGGGAGCAAACAGG
rnacentral:rRNA from 1 species